CAGCGUCUCUCUAAGCGCCUUGUCAAGAUGCAAGCUGAAUAUGAUGGGCUGAUGGCUCGUUUGGGUUCUUCAAGUUUUGUAGAGAAAGCUCCUGAGGAUAUUGUUCGUGGUGUCCGAGAAAAAGCGGCAGAGGCAGAAGAGAAGCUGACUCUAACUAAAAACCGCCUUAAUUUCCUCAAGUCAAAAGUUUUGAUUGCAAAUUAGUUUCAUUCCAACAAUCCUUUAUCGCCGCUUACCCUAGUUCAACCCACUAGAGGUUCAUUACAUUAUUUUUGAGCUUUUAGCUCGAUAUCAAGAUGAGUAGCCUCUUCCACAAGAACAAGAAGGCGGAGAUCAUCUAAUCGCAUUCUCGUAAGGCAUUCUUUCAUCUUUCUGCACCUCGACCAGUAGUUCCAUCAAAAGGGUACUGCUUUACUUAAUCUGUGUUGUGCUUCAAUCUAAGAGUAGGGCGUUGAAAAAUAAAGCAUCAAGUGGCGGCUUUUACCCAUUUUUCUCAUUAACCCCUAGAAAGAGUGGGUGGGUGGGGUUUAGCUGAUGUACAGAAUUAUAUUUUUGUGAACAUUUGUCAUGGUAGUGAUCAUUAUUGCUAUAUUCCAUGUGUUAGUGUUGACUCGAUUUCAGCUUUUACACAGAAGCACAAGUUAGUCUUUCUGUCUCUGUUACCAUUUUUCUAUCUUUUCAAAAUCUUGUUUGGUCGUCAUCUUUUGGUUGUAAUUUGUAACAAAUGGCAGUUGAGAUGCUCAUAAUUGUUAGAUGCAUUAAUCAGAUGUUUUUCUUUAUUUCUA